UACGAAGGGUGCAAGCGUUGUUCGGAUUUAUUGGGCGUAAAGCGUACGUAGGCGGUUUUAUAAGUCAGGUGUGAAAUCUUGGGGCUCAACCCCGAAACUGCGCCUGAAACUGUAGAACUAGAAUCUUGGAGGGGAAGGUAGAAUUUCGCAUGUAGGGGUAAAAUCCGUAGAGAUGCGAAGGAACAUCAGAGGCGAAGGCGACCUUCUGGACAAGUAUUGACGCUGAGGUACGAAAGCGUGGGGAGCAAACAGG
rnacentral:rRNA from 1 species